ensembl:lncRNA
GUGCUUUUGUGUUUCGUAGAUUAGCUUUCCUGUGGUUUACAAAGAUGCCAUCUUAUAUGUCAACGAUGAAAGACAGCACAGGCUUUAAGUUUGACAUAUAGGUUAAGGGUAAGCAGAAUAGCUGUUGCAGAUGAGCAGCUUCAGUGUCUGGCGUGGCGGUCUCUGCAGACAGAUUUGGGCAAACAUAAAAAUAGAACAACCAUUUAACCUCGACAUGAACAUUUCCUGCAAUCCCCAUUUCUGCAGACACCAUCUCAAGAAUAGACGUUCCCAAAGCGAUGUGAAAGAUCUGCCUAAAAUAAGUUACGGGUUUUUAAUCUUAGAUAAGCUUUGUGUGAUGUAGCUAAUAUUUUGGCCUCCUGGAGUGUAUCUUCCGUAGCUUGAAGGAUAUUUUGAACAGAGAGAACUAUCGUGAUGGGCAGUUUAUUUGCUUAAUUUCCCUUCAUAAAACAGACAGAACCUGCCAGAUAGGAUUCUAGCAAAAAUGCUGACAUGCUUAGCCAGAAAGCUUGCGUAACAGAGAAAAAUAAGGUGGUUUUUUUUUUUUAAGAAAAAUUAAGAAAAAUAAAUUGUUGCUAUGUUGUUUCAAUGCUUUUGGCAGUCACUGUACAGAUACAAAAUGAGUUAUGUUUCUUUUCUUUCUUUUCCAUGUACUUUUUGCCAUCACCUUUUGAUCAAAAUGAAAAAGUAAUAGUCUUUGUAUUAUUCUAGAGCUUAAGUUUCUGCAUCCGUCCUUCUUGCCUACCAUUAGUUCUGCUUCUGCAUGGUGAACUUCAUAGUACCAAUAAGUAUUUAAAAAAUAUGUGUAUAUUAGUAAGGUUAAUACUCAUCUCCAAAGAAAACAGUUCAUGUGCUCUAUUAUGAGCUUAUCUUAACUAGUGAUUACAUGCUGCCUCCUGUCCAGUAUUAUCAUUUCAAAUAUCAAUCUUCAGCCCUAGACAACGCUCUCCAGGUAAUUCUCUUUUCCCUUUAUGUUCAUCUGUAUUAUACUGACAGUGGUGGUAUUGUUAUUCCUCGCCAUGUUAUUACCGCCUGCAGAGAUCUGAAGCUUAAAGAACGACACAAGAAGUUAGGUCCUUGCUUUUAAGUUUUCUUGAUAAAGCAAGUGAUGAUCCAAUUAAUGAGGUUCACUCAGAAACAGGUAUGUUCACAUAUCUGUUAAACAGCCUCUUUAAAUACAAUGAGAGUACACAUUGGAGUGACCGUUGCACAUUGUGGAAUGUGUAUUCUGCAAUUACUGAUUAUCUUUCAAGUAUUGCACCUCAUGUUUGCUGGAUUUUAUGUAAGGGAAGGGCUUCAUGCCAGAUUCUCCAAGUUAACAGCUGUACUUAGUCUCCAGAUCUGUCUCCAUUCAGCAGCUGUUGUUACAGGCGAACUCUGCUAUUUGUUCAUUCACAUCGCCACAUGGCCAAGUUGUGGAAAAGUGAGUAAUUUUUGACCUUCACUUGUUAAAGUUUAUAGAGGCUUUGUUUUCUGGAAGAGGUAGAGGGAAGUGAGUUAACAUGAUACACAAACUCAGGGUCAAAAUAUCAAACUGCUCAAUUACAUAAAAGAUGAGUUCAUAGAAGGCUUUUGCAUACCUUUGCAUUUCCCAACGCUUCGUUACUCUUUUGUGCUAACGGUUAAUUGUAUCUUCUCUUUAGCUGAAUGGUAUUAUUGGUAGUAACCACCAGCCAGACAUAGCAUUGCUGCCCUCUGUUUAUAAACAACUGUCUUGUGUGUAUAUGGUCCCUUUUCCAAGUUAGUGUGAAAGCAGAUGGAUUUCUGGUUAGUGCAGAGCUACAACAAAAUACUAUUAAUCAGCAGAUUUUAAUUAAAGAGUUUCAGCUUCUAAUUAAGUGAGGAGAUCUCAAUUACCACAGUAGAUCAAUAGAUUCUGUGAGGCUCUAAGGACUGUCUGUCCAUUGACUUUUCCUCGCAAAUGACAAAAAUCUUGCAAAAUUGUAUCCUGUGUUUUUAAUAAGAGUUGAUGUUGGGAAUAGAAUAAAACUAGUCCGAAAUAAAAAACUUAUUUUGAGCCUGCUAGAGUAUCCCUGACACUUAUACCAUCUGAAGAUUGGAGGGUCCUGAGCACAUCCUCCAGCAUUAUGCAAUGCAGGUGACUGUGUCCUCUUUCCUAGGAAAUGCCUACAGUCCUAACAUCACCCAGGUGACUGCAGAGACUGCCAUAACAAGUUGUCAAAUGGCACAGUCUUGGCAAGAGAGAAGUUUUGUGCCAUCAGUUUGCAGUCCCCGUCCCUGAACACUACAGAAGAGCUUUGGGAAGAGUGUAUCUACAUCCAGGAGUGACUUUUCUCCUGUCUUGCCUCCCUGUAGUUUUGUGCUGCUUAGCAAAGUUCUCUGCACAGCCCCUAUCCUGAAAGAAACUGCUUAUAAGCAGAUCCAUUAAACUGCUGGUUACUGCUGUCUCAGUAUUGCAAAGAAUGCAAAGCUGCUACUUGAGGGAGUGCUUGAUUUAUGCAGGAACAGGAAAAAGUUUGGGGAAGGACGCUUUGCCAUCAUUUUUGCUAACAAGAUAAAAU